rnacentral:rRNA from 1 species
UACGGGGGGGGCAAGCGUUGUUCGGAAUUACUGGGCGUAAAGGGCUCGUAGGCGGCCAACUAAGUCAGACGUGAAAUCCCUCGGCUUAACCGGGGAACUGCGUCUGAUACUGGAUGGCUUGAAUCCGGGAGAGGGAUGCAGAAUUCCAGGUGUAGCGGCGAAAUGCGUAGAUAUCUGGAGGAACACCGGUGGCGAAGGCGGCAUCCUGGACCGACACUGACACUGAGGAGCGAAAGCCAGGGGAGCAAACGGG